GACGAACGCUGGCGGCGUGCUUAACACAUGCAAGUCGAACGAUGAACCCGGAGCUUGCUCCGGUGGAUUAGUGGCGAACGGGUGAGUAACACGUGAGUAACCUGCCCUUGACUCUGGGAUAACUGCGGGAAACUGUAGCUAAUACCGGAUACGACCCUCGGCGGCAUCGCCAGGGGGUGGAAAGAAUUUCGGUCAAGGAUGGACUCGCGGCCUAUCAGCUAGUUGGUGAGGUAACGGCUCACCAAGGCAACGACGGGUAGCCGGCCUGGGAGGGUGACCGGCCAGGCUGGGAGUGAGAUACGGCCCAGACUCCUGCGGGAGGCAGCAGUGGGGAAUAUUGCACAAUGGGCGCAAGGCUGAUGCAGCAACGCCGCGUGGGGGAUGACGGCCUUCGGGUUGUAAACCUCUUUUAGUAGGGAAGAAGCGAAAGGGACGGUACCUGCAGAAAAAGCACCGGCUAACUACGUGCCAGCCGCCGCAGUAA
rnacentral:rRNA from 1 species